CUUGUCUUCUGCCUCUUCCCAUCCUACAGUUACUGCAACCUCAGCUGCCUUUCUUGUUCCCUCUUGACCUCCCCGCAGAAGCAUGUAUGUUUCUCCCCUUUCUUCAAAGUCCUCCUGCCUAUCCCCAAAUAACAGGUAGCAAGAGGCAGAAGUGUUGUUCCCCAGAGACACAAAACCAGCAGACCAAACCUGCAGGUAAUGAGCUUUUCCCUUGCUGAGGCCAUUUAUGUAUUCCCCACAUAGGUUUUCACAAAAUUUGUAGGAAUUGCAUGACUUUGAGACCUCUUCCAUUUUUCAAACUUGGCUAAAGGUGGCCAGUGGUUAAAUUAUUGGUGCUAACAGGACUGAGAUGAUCAGACAGUGCGAUUUUGUAAGCCUUGUUUCUUUAGAAAACCCAGCUGGAAAAGGGACUUAAGUUUUUGGCUUAAGAAAUCAGAUAUAUCUGUUAUAUACAAACUAGAUUAUAUCUGGGAUAGCAAAAUACAGAUAAAAAAAGCUUUC